rnacentral:rRNA from 1 species
GAAGAAAGGGCCGGGCAAGACCGGUGCCAGCCGCCGCGGUAAUACCGGCGGCUCGAGUGGUGGCCACUAUUACUGGGCUUAAAGCGUUCGUAGCUGGUUUGUUAAGUCUCUGGGGAAAUCUUCCGGCUUAACCGGAAGGCGUCUCAGGGAUACUGGCAGACUAGGGACCGGGAGAGGUGAGGGGUACUCCAGGGGUAGGAGUGAAAUCCUGUAAUCCUUGGGGGACCACCUGUGGCGAAGGCGCCUCACCAGAACGGCUCCGACAGUGAGGGACGAAAGCUGGGGGAGCAAACCGGAUUAGAUACCCGGGUAGUCCCAGCUGUAAACGAUGCGCGUUAGGUGUAUCGGUGACCACGAGUCACCGAGGUGCCGAAGAGAAAUCGUGAAACGUGCCGCCUGGGAAGUACGGUCGCAAGGCUGAAACUUAAAGGAAUUGGCGGGGGAGCACCACAACAGGUGGAGCCUGCGGUUUAAUCGGACUCAACGCCGGGAAACUCACCAGUUAAGACAGCUGAAUGAUAGUCGGGCUGAAGACUCUACUUGACUAGCUGAGAGGUGGUGCAUGGCC